AUUGAACGCUGGCGGCAGGCCUAACACAUGCAAGUCGAGCGGAAACGGCAUAACGGAACCUUCGGGUGAAGAUAUGGACGUCGAGCGGCGGACGGGUGAGUAAUGCUUAGGAAAUUGCCCAGUAGAGUGGGAUAACUAUUGGAAACGAUAGCUAAUACCGCAUAAUAUCUUCGGAUCAAAGUGGGGGACCAUUUGGCCUCAUGCUACUGGAUAUGCCUAAGUGAGAUUAGCUAGUUGGU
rnacentral:rRNA from 1 species